AUUGAACGCUGGCGGCAUGCCUUACACAUGCAAGUCGAACGGUAACGCGGGGCAACCUGGCGACGAGUGGCGAACGGGUGAGUAAUAUAUCGGAACGUGCCCAGUAGUGGGGGAUAGCCCGGCGAAAGCCGGAUUAAUACCGCAUACGACCUGAGGGUGAAAGCGGGGGAUCGCAAGACCUCGCGCUCUUUGAGCGGCCGAUAUCAGAUUAGCUAGUUGGUGGGGUAAAAGCCUACCAAGGCGACGAUCUGUAGCUGGGCUGAGAGGACGACCAGCCACACUGGGACUGAGACACGGCCCAGACUCCUACGGGAGGCAGCAGUGGGGAAUUUUGGACAAUGGGCGCAAACCUGAUCCAGCCAUGCCGCGUGCGGGAAGAAGGCCUUCGGGUUGUAAACCGCUUUUGUCAGGGAAGAAACGCGCUGAGCUAAUACCUCGGCGUAAUGACGGUACCUGAAGAAUAAGCACCGGCUAACUACGUGCCAGCCGCCGCGGUAA
rnacentral:rRNA from 1 species